ensembl:lncRNA
CCGCAAAUCUUUUUUUCGGAGGGUGGUAGGGAUACGUACCGCCUCUGCUUCGCCUCUGAUUGGUUAGGGUUAAGGUUAGGGUUAGGGUCCCUACCAGAGUGGUAGAUAUAACAGAGUGGCGACACUUCCAUUGGACUCCGUUGUAGCGCCUACUUCCGGGGUAUGGAGCCUCGAAUAGUUCCAAACAACCAUUUUACGGCGUAGGAGACCGUUCAUUUCCAUUGCUGGCGGCCGAGUAACUUCUGAGAAAUUAGUCUGACUGCUGAUCCUGUUGGUGGAUGCUGUUGGUGGCUGCUGGUGGUGGCGGCUGACGACGUUUGCUGAUGGUGGUGGCUGGUGCUGGUGUUGGCUGCUGGUGGUGGCUGCUGGUAGAUGCUGCUUGUUGUGACUGCUGGAAUAAGAGGAGACUGGGGGCUGCGGAUGGUGGGCCAGGAAUGGAGAGGCCAAAUACAUCCAUGGCAAGCAGUAAGCCAGUUGGCAGUGGCCUAGAUGUUAUGACCUCAGCUCAUGGCAUGAGGGAAGGUUGCUGUCCAGACCCAUGGCCUCUCUUUCCAGCUGUGCCACUACAUUGGAGGACUGCAUGAGGGAAUCACUCGUCUGAGAACGGAACAGCUGCUCCACGUUCUGCAGGAGAGUGAACACCUCAUCGGAUGGACGGUGGUAGAGGACACAGGACUCGGUCUUUGUCAUGUCAGGUGGUGAUGGGUCUACCAGCUGCUCCACUCUCACAACCUCAGAAGCACUGCAGCUGCUUUUCUGGGUGUCCAGGAAGUCCGCCAAGUGGUCUGAUGCAUCAUCCAGAUCUUGCUGGACCUCCAGAAUUGUUGUUGUGGCCAUCACCAGUCCAGUCUGGACUGGUUUCCAGCUGCCCUGGGGACCAAUCUUCAGGCCCCGAAAAAGAUGGAUCGAGUCGCGGAGGAAGCUGAUGGCCUUUUCAUACUCUUCCAUCUUGAAAUGACUGAGGGCACAAACAACAUUGCGGGAUGACAUGAGGUCAAACCAGUGGUCCAUCUUCUCCAAAAACCAUGUCGUUGUAAGGCUCCAGGACACCUCUGGACAGAUUGGGUGCAAGCUUAAGUGCCAUGCCCUCCUGGAAGGACACCAGAUCCUUUAAGGGGGCAACAGAGACUUCACUCGAUGCCAGCUGCUCCUUUUCCACCACAUCCUGUGGUAUGGUGAUGAUGUGACCACGGACAAUGGCACUCUUCAAGUUCUUGACGAGGUGAGGAACGUCAGGCAUGAAAUGGAGGCGCUGGCUUGGCUCAACAGGAUGCUGGAUCCAUGGCUUGUCAUAGGUCACCCCAAAGGACUUCCACAUUGCUCUAUUGGGGCUCCCCAUGUCUGUGGUGAUGUUCAGUACAUGAAGCCCUACAGAUGCCGCUGCUUCAACAAUGUUGAUUAUGAUGGGCCGGUAAACUGCUCCAUUGGUGGAAUUGCCACUAUAGUGGUAAGCCACAACUUGUUUCCACCGUGUUGUAGCUCCAGCCAGCAUAAACACCAGUGCAUGUGUCGCUUGUCCUUUGUGCUCAGGCAGUGUGACAUUGCCAAAUAGCCUCCCCGUUCCCAAAUGGAGCUCCACGCCUGGAGUAAUGGACAUCUCAUCUAAGCGUCCGGAUGUUGGGCAGCGGAAUAUGCAUUCGCUGGAGGGUUUUGUAACCAGUGGUGCCAGCAGUAAAUUUAACCUUUGCCUUAUUAGGUCCUCCACAGUCGCCCCAUCAGUCCCUGGCAGUCUGGUCCCUGGAGCAGCUGGCCCUGGAGCAGAUGGUCCUGGCAAAGUUAUAACUUCACUGUUGACCCCUGACUGACUGGCCCUCGGCACACACAUCCCUGGAUCACCUGCCCCUGGAUCACCUGCCACUGAAUCACCUGCCACUGGCAAUGUGGCCUCUUGAUUUCUCUCUCUGUCUCCUGGCAUGUCCCUUUCAAUGCUCUUCAAAUCCACCUCAAUUUCUCCCUCAAUCUCUGUAAAAAUUACAAGGUAAUGUUGCUGUUAUAUGUAUUUUGCCUUUGCAUUUGCAACUACUGUCAUCUCCAAUGUAGGAAAUGAUUUGAAGUGAAUCAUUUCUGUAAUGUGAAUUAAAUCAUCUGCCACAAUCAGAAACCAAUAAAAUGUAUUAAUGGAUCUACCGGCAAA